UACGUAGGUGGCAAGCGUUGUUCGGAAUUACUGGGCGUAAAGCGCGUGUAGGCGGCUCUUCAAGUCAGACGUGAAAGCCCCGGGCUUAACUCGGGAACUGCGUUUGAUACUGUCGAGCUAGAGUGUGGAAGGGGCGAUUGGAAUUCCGUGUGUAGCGGUGAAAUGCGUAGAUAUACGGAGGAACACCAGAGGCGAAGGCGGAUCGCUGGGCCAACACUGACGCUGAGACGCGAAAGCCAGGGGAGCAAACGGG
rnacentral:rRNA from 1 species